GAUGAAGAACGCAGCGAAAUGCGAUAAGUAGUGUGAAUUGCAUAAUUCAGUGAAUCAUCGAAUCUUUGAACGCACAUUGCGCCCCUUGGUAUCCCGAGGGGCAUGCCUGUUCGAGCGUCAUUUCACCACUCAAGCCUGGCUUGGUGUUGGGCGACGUCCUCUUUGGGGACGCGCCUCGAAACGCUCGGCGGCGUGGCACCGGCUUUAAGCGUAGCAGAAUCUUUCGCUUUGGAAGUCGGGGCCCCGUCUGCCGGAAGACCUGCUCGCAAGGUUGACCUCGGAUCAGGCAGGGAUACCCGCUGAACUUAAGCAUAUCAAUAAGCGGAGGA
rnacentral:misc_RNA from 1 species